GCAGGAGUGAACUCCUAUGGAAAAUACAUAGAAUUAGUAAAGCAAGAAUAUUCCAUAUUAAGGUUAACGUGAAGCCUUGUUUCCCUGUACAGCUGUGUUGAGCUAGCACAUCAGUGCAGACUGUCAAAUACUUUGUCAUAAUAGGUUAUGCUCUUACAGGUCUGCACACAUUUCUUCAGGAGUGGCUUUCAAGAACUGUUCUGUUGGAGCCACAUCAAACACAGUUUUUCAAACCUAUUGAAGAUAUUACUUCUCAGUGUGAUUAAUUAACAAGGCCAAAUUAUACCUCUGUAAUCUCUGGAACCCUUAGUAUUUUCCAUUGCCACAUCAACAGCUGCCAGCCUUUUUUCAAGUGCCUGAGUCUCUGCUGAUGUCCCCAGCCAGCUCACUCCACGGGGCCACAUCUGAAUAUACACAUUCUGCUGUUUGAAUUGUCAUUUCCCUCCCAUCUAAUGACUAAUCUCUGCAGGUGCUUCUGCAGAGCCUCAAAAACUGUGCUCAGUUGCCUGCUGUCUCACUGAAAUAAGAACAAGAAACCUUGGGAAUAUAUGAUACAGGAAACCCACUUGUGGAAUCAAUAGCUUAAAAUUUGCUUGAUUUGGAGGUGCAUGCAGUUCACAUUCAACAGUCACAGAUGGAUUCAUGCUCCAAAGAUCCAUUUGUAAAACCAAGUUUGCUCUUCAUCCCCAUAAAUCCUGUAGCAAUGAAGAGCAUAAAUGUUACAUUUUUUGCUAUAAAAAAAUAAGUUCUUUUGUUUGUGAAACACAAAAGUAUCUUAGGAUGUCUCUUAUAUCUGUGCACAUGCAGAAUUAAACUGUUAGCUAUGAAUUACGUGAGCUACACACCCAUAUUUCUUUUCUCUUUUUAUACUGCUUUGCAUUUGCCAACCUACAACUUCCUGUAGUUGACUUGCAAGCUGAUCACCUUGAAAAACUUUGGUCACCUCACUUUUUCUCUCUUUUAUAGAUAACAGGAAUAUGCUACUGGCAACCUCCUUCUGAUGGAAAAUUAAGCAUUUACUCCUCCCAUUUGUUUUCUGUUAUUUGGCUCUUAAUUCGUGGACUAUUCCAUUAAUUCCAGGGUUAAUAAACUGCCCUUAUAGACCUCACAAAGGACCUUCUUUGCUGCUUUCCUAAAACCCUAGUAUGUACUAAUAAUUUUGCAUUCUUAUCUCAUGAGGCCUUUGGCAGUGUUAACAAACACAGAGGUGUGAGGUAUUGCCAACCACUUUACAUAGGUUCUUUCACCUCUUCUCUAGUAUAUUGCAGCUACCUGUGUGUCUACUAAUUGCAUUCUUUAUUACAGUUUCUAAUAAUCUGUGUAGCAUGCAAAUCAGACUUAAAGUCAACCUGAAGUCAACCCUAGAUGCAAGUGGUGGACAUCCCAGCUGUGUCUCUGGUAACAUUUUGGGGAACUGGUAACAUACCACAUUGUCACAUAAACAAUUUUGAUGUAAUGUCUUUUUGAACAUGAAGGUAAAUAAUAUUAGAUCCUGGCACUCUUUACUCUUGACACUGGAAGAUUUCUGUAAAUAACCCUUCUUUUAUGGUGUCUUAAGUUUAAUAUUUCUCCAAUUAAUGCCUGGUUUAAAAAAAAAAAAAAAAAAAGUACUGCUGGCAGAACUUUUUUGAUGACCUUCUCCCUGAAUACUGAUGUGGUGUAACCAAUAUAUACAGUUUUUCAGCAAUGGCUUUUUAUCUUCCCUGACCGCUCUUUUUAUACCCUGGAUCAACAGUCUGCUCCAAACAGCUCUCUCAAAAUCUUCCUAAGUUCUGAUGUGAUAAAAACAGAUUUUGUUACAAGGUUUAAUAUCUCUAACAGAAUAUACCAGUUUUAGCUUUAACUAGCAAUAUUCAUGGUUGUUUGCAAGGAAAUACUGUCUACUGGGAAAGACUGGGGUUUUUGUCUCUUCUUUUGUGUGU